CUUUCCCCAAGGGAUAAAGGAAGCAAUCUAUAUGUUUACCCACUUCAUACGAUCAAUAACAGUGUGCACGUGUGCAAAAGUGGCAAAAUGGGAUUUAGAACCGCCUUUAUAGUCUAACUGGUUUUGGCAUGUUUACCUGAGUAUCACAGACAGUUCAACAGAUCCACCCCACUCUAGGACUUGUUAAAAAAAAGUUUCUUUGAUUUUUUUUUUGGUAGAAGUAGCCCAAUUCAUUACAAUGGCACAAAGAAACCAGAUUUACAAGCUUUAAAGGAGGCCAAAAGUGAAUCAUCAGAUUACUCAUGCAUGGAUUAUGAAGAUGAUCCAUUAUGGUAAAACACAUGCAUUCAUAACAGAAGACUGAUGUGGGUGGAGAAUGAUGAUGAUGGUGGUGAUGAUGACGACUUUGACAUGGGCCAUGUGAGCCAAAAUUCCUGUGACAGUGAAAUGGAGCAAGAAUUGACUGACACAGACACAGGGAAGGCAGACCUCCUUGAUUCAGAUGAUGAAGAAAACAGCAGUAGGGAUGACCAGACCUGAGUUACUACAAUACUGACAGCCCACCAACUCUUCUGACUAGAGGAAGUAGCCUCUCGAAAUGCAAGAUACUAAGCUGAUGAAAAUAGUAUGUAUGUCUUCUAUCAGCCACCUACCCCGAUUGUGAAUAGAAAUUGAUGAUAAUCUUGUUUUAUUUUUUCCAAAGAAAGUGAUUUUUAUUUGUACAUUUUAGGUAUACAUAAUGAUUGCAUUCAUCAUAGGGAAUUUGUACCUGUACAUGAUAUAACUUGAUUCUUUUCCCAUUCCCUUACCCUCCCUUCACCCCCUCUUCUUUACCUUAUUUACAAAAUCUUUGUUUCCAUUUUUUCCUUCUUUUCUCCCUUUUUUAAAUUUUCUCUUCCUUCCCUUCCCUCCUACCCCCUCUCUUUUUCCCCUUCCCACUGGAACAUUUUGAUGAUGAUCUUAUACUUCAAAAUUAUUUAACUUUAAGCCAACAUUUGCUUUUAGUUAUUAGUAAGUCUUGAAAUGAGACCCCUUAAAAGUACACUCCAUUCUAAGCUUCAGCUAACACAAUUUGAUUCUUAUAUUCUGACACUUAUUUAUACGACCAGACCAAUCAUAACAUCAAAUUUGUAGUCAAACUUUGUUCACGAAAUUUUCAAGAUGGAAAAAUCCAAAUCAUUUGUUAAGUCAUCACAUGGCAGUUUCUUACUACUUCACACUGUCUGAAGCUUCCACUCUUCAUUUUGUUACUUUUUCUGAACUGUUUAAAUUAAACAUGGUAUAAAACACUCAUAAUGCCAAGUGUUACUUUCUCUAUUCAGGAACAACAGUACCCACGUUAAUCUCCUGGCAAGAGGUCAAACACAUGUUAUAUAGACAGAAGUUAUUCAAGUAAGUAACAUAAAUGAUAACCUGAUUAACUCAGCUUUGUUGUUCUCUAUUCAAUACAGUUGUGAGACAUUAAUUUCUGACAAAAGAAAAAAAUGCAUAUUUUUAAUAAAAAGUGGCCCUGAAAAGAAAGCCACCUACUGGUAAUGUUCAGGGAAGAUCAUCAGGUGGAAGGUGGUAUAGUUUACUUCAGCUACUUCAGCACUUACCUACAUAACUGCUAAUACAGGGUUAUACUAAUGUGUACACUUAAUUGCAUUUAGUGACAGAGAUACUAAGGUAUCCAAGAAUUUUGGAAUUCCAAAGAUCCCAGCUCAUUAGCUAACAUAAACAUUAAGGGACAUUUGUGUGUCAACAGUAAAUAAACCAGUGUACUUCCUUGGUUUUCCUUAUGAUACCAUGGAUUUGUUGGCAGAUUUUUUGCCUUUCUUUUUGUCAACACAAUAUCCAAAAGAUUGUUUCUAGCAAACAGUCCUAACUCAGUAGUGAUUCCCUAAUCUCUUUUCUGGCUCAUAAUGUAGAUACUACCAAUCACAAUAUAAAUAUAUAUUAAUUUUUCUUUAGACAAAGCACUUACUUCUUAGACCAAAACAGUCACUGUUCCGAAUCUUCUAUAUAGCUCUGAAAUAUGUUUCUAUCUUAUUUAUCUCCUGUGUCCAUUAUUCAGAAGCCUUAAAUGCUUCCUUUAUAUUUAAGAGAAUAACAUUGAUAAAAUCAUCUUUAGAUGUUAGAGUAGGCUAUGAAAUAAAAAAUUACCUUUUUUUGCAGACAGUAAAAUGAAAAUCCAC
rnacentral:lncRNA from 1 species